rnacentral:rRNA from 1 species
UACGUAGGGGGCAAGCGUUGUUCGGAAUUACUGGGCGUAAAGGGCGCGUAGGCGGCACAGCAAGUCGGGAGUGAAAGCCCGGGGCUUAACCCCGGGUCUGCAUUCGAUACGGGCUAGCUAGAGUGUGGUAGGGGAGAUCGGAAUUCCUGGUGUAGCGGUGAAAUGCGCAGAUAUCAGGAGGAACACCGGUGGCGAAGGCGGAUCUCUGGGCCAUUACUGACGCUGAGGAGCGAAAGCGUGGGGAGCGAACAGG